GGAACACUCGUGCUGGGAGGCGGCGGGAUCCUCGUCGGAGCGCUGUGCCAGGGACAGCUCCCGGUUCUGCGCGAAUCCUGGGGCGCUCAGGUCACAGGAUAUACUGGGAUUGAGAGGGUUCCUGAAAUCCGACUCUCGAGGACACGGCCCGUGGGAGAAUUGAACUCACAACCUUGGCACUACCUGGACUGUGCUCCGACUGACUGAGCCCUCUGCAUCUCAGGUAUGAAACUCCCAAGGAUGGGAAUCAUUGGCUCCAGCAAGGAAACUGCAGCUCCUUCUAUUCUGCUAAAGCAGCUUUACACACCAGCCCCUGCCACGGCUGUAGGGUAGAACUGGCUGGCAGCUGGCAUGACAGCACCGCAUCUUCCCAUCCCCUGAUUUUCCUGCCCUUUCCAGGAUUUACCCAGCAGCUGUAGAUUUGCUCUUGCCAUGUCUCUUUGUAGGGAGAAGUGAGCAGGACAGGUUCUGAGGCUUCCCUUGCUGCGUGGCCUGAGUUCUUCUGGAGAGUGGCAGGUGGCAUUUCCUGCAGGUGAGUGUUGCCCAAAUGAAGCAGCUGCUGAAGCUGGGGUUGGUUUUGUGGCCCAGAGCUGCACAGAGGCCUCAGUGCCUCCCUCUCAGUGCCAGCAAUGCUCCUUGAUGUUUCUGUGUGUCCCAGCUGCGAGGGGCAGGACGAGGCCAGGAGUCCCCGAAAGGCAUCCAGCACCUCUUGUCCUUGGGCCCUCGGGGCAAGGGCUGUGCCUGCAGCGUCCUGCCCGUGCCGAGCACACGGCCCGGGAUGGGCGCUGGGUGCCCGGCCGGCGCUGGCGCGGACACGGCUCAAGGGCUGCCCGUGGCUCCCGGGCCAGGGGCUGCUCUGAGCAGGCUCCUGGAGAUGCUCCAGCCUGGAUACAGGCCACUGACAGCCCAAAAGCAGCCCAAGGAGCAGCUGGCGUGUCCUGGUGAUGGCGGCACGGGCUGCGUGCAGAGGGGCUCAGACAGCAAUUCCUGGUUCCAGCCUCCCAGAGCUCCCAGGCAGCUGCCAGCUAUUAAAUGCCAACCGACAGCCUGCAGAGAUGCCUUCAAAUCAAAGGUUCAGGUGGGAUGAAGUUUUGUUUGGACGAAGGUGGGAGUUUCCAGGGAGCCAGCUGGAAGUGCAGAAGGGAUGGAAAGCUUUCCCAGGUACUUCCCAGUGGCACUGCUCAGACACCAGAGCUCCAACUGCAGCAGGUGAGUCCUGGAGUGCUGGAUCAGCAUGGCCACAAUGGCCAGGGAGGUGAGUGAGCACUGGGCAAGGCAGUGAGCCUGCACCUCAACACCA